rnacentral:misc_RNA from 1 species
AUGCAUAUUUGCUAUAUUGAACAAUCCUGUUAAUAACAAAUCUUUUUUUGAGAUGGAAAAGAAAGAUUGCUUCAAUUUUGGUGCCAUUUUUUCUGAUCAAUCAUUUUUUUCACCCUCCAUCAAUAUUUUCAUCUUUUCAUCACUGAAAGUGAAAACACAUAUAUAUUGUUAUUGUUAAUUCUUUACAAUGGUGAGCAAUCUUGUUUGUUGAAUUUCUUGUUAAAAUUUGAAAUUGUUUUCUCGAGGCUUGUUAAACUUUAUCGUUAGAUCUAAAAUGUACCGGUACAAAAAUGUGUCUUGGGUACUAUAAAUUGAUCAAUUCUUCUUUUUUCUGAAGGAAAAAUUAAACAGUUUUUUUUUCAUUUCAAUGUUUAUUUCUAAUUUGAUUUAUAAAUGUUGCAAAUGGAGUUCAUAUUGAUGAAUGCUGUACCUUUUUCAUUUAAACAAAUGAAAAAGAUAUCUCUUAUAUGCAAACAAAAUUUAUGGACUCGAACCUGACAUAUGAAAAAUAGACGAUGGGAUCUUUUAUGAGAAUCAUUUUUGCUUUUAAAUUUCAGCAUCAAUUGUCCAGUUUUGUAUGAUUUUAUACAUGUUUAUAGUUUUUUUUCUUCAUGUUAUUGUAUUUUAGGGGAUUUCUUCAGUAUUGUAUACACAUAUAUUAUUUUUUUUUCAUUGUCUUGUAAUCGUACCGAUUGUUUACACAUUUUGCUUAAAAGAAAUGACCUUAAUAGUUCUACCAAGUGGAACCUUUUCUCCCGUUUAUAUUAUGUUAUAUGUAAUUGUCAUUAAUACUUAUGUAAUAUGUACGUGGCUGAAACGUUCCUUAUAAGUCAGUGGAAUAUUGCAAUGUUUAUUAAGUGAAAACUUAAGUUACCUCUUGCCCCUGUUAUUUAUUGCUAUUUAAUCAUGUGGUCUAUGUAUAUUUCUUACAGUUAUUCAUUUCCUUUGCAGAUUAACACAUUUUACAAGUUUUGUUUCUAUUUUAACAUAUUAAGUAUAAGCAUACCAGUUUACAUAUUGUGUGCGUACUUGUAAAUAAGUUUCUAGGAUUUCAUUUGUACAUAAAAUGUACUACUGUAGAAUGAUAAGUUUUUUUCCUUUCUUUGAUUCAGGGGUUUUUAUGUAUCGAUGUAUUUAUGCUGAUUGUGUUAAAACUCAAUGUAUUGUGUGUAUUUAUGUAAUAUUUGAAAUAUGCAUUAUUUAAAACACCUGUGUGUUCCUCAAACACAUAGGAAUUUGGGAUAAUCUGAAGGUACUUAGGAUUCUUAAAAUAUGUAUGCAUAACACCAAACAAAUUAUUUAAAACACAUAUUUAUCUAUGAUUCAUACAUGUAAUGUUUAUUUCAGCAUUUAAUCAUUUUUAGAUUUUUAUCAUGAUUAAUGGCUUACCUAAAUAUGAUUACUUAAAGUAAGUGCUGAUCAUGCAAGACGUUUGGUAAACUAUAUAUUUUAAAAAGAUUACAAUAAAUCAACAAAUUUUAAAAAGAUAUCAAUUACAUGUAAAUCAUGAGUAAUUUAGAUUGUUACAAUUUGAUUUGUGUAUUAUAUUAUGCAAUCACAUGUUUUCCCUAAUUUACACAAUCAUUGUGGUAACUAGCUGUCAUUUUACAAAAAUAACAAUGCAAUAUACAUGCAGUAAACAUGCUGUAUACAUGCAAAAACCCUCAUUGACAAAUGAACUUCUUUAUUUAGACACCAGUUAAAAGCAGUUUUUAUUACCAAGACUGAUGGACUUUUUUUUCUAUUAAUGAGUGCUUAUUACUGAAGAUAAAUAAUUAAGAUUGAGGAUGCAUGUAAUUAUAUAAAUAUGUAUAUUACAAUGUACGUUUUUGAUGAAUUCAAUGACUGGACAACUUUGGUUAUAUAUUUCAAGAUCUGUCAGAAGUAGUGAGUUAGGAAAUCCAAAUAAAUCAAUGUGGUGCUAAAAUC